rnacentral:rRNA from 1 species
UACGGGGGGGGUAAGCGUUGUUCGGAAUUACUGGGCGUAAAGGGCUCGUAGGCGGCCAACUAAGUCAUACGUGAAAUCCCUCAGCUUAACUGGGGAACUGCGUGUGAUACUGGAUGGCUUGGAUUUGGGAGAGGGAUGCGGAAUUCCAGGUGUAGCGGUGAAAUGCGCAGAUAUCGGGAGGAACACCGGUGGCGAAGGCGGUUCUCUGGGCCUUACCUGACACUGAGGAGCGAAAGCGUGGGGAGCGAACAGG